GUGCCAGCCGCCGCGGUAAUACCGGCAGCUCAAGUGAUGGCCACUCUUAUUGGGCCUAAAGCGUCCGUAGCUGGCUGCGCAAGUCCGUCGGGAAAUCCACUCGCCCAACGAGUGGGCGUCCGACGGAAACUGCACAGCUUGGGACCGGAAGGCUCGAAGGGUACGUUCGGGGUAGGAGUGAAAUCCCGUAAUCCCGGACGGACUACCGAUGGCGAAAGCACUCUGAGAAGACGGCUUCGACAGUGAGGGACGAAAGCGCGGGUCUCAAACCGGAUUAGAAACCCCGGUAGUCC
rnacentral:rRNA from 1 species